CACGUAGGGUGCGAGCGUUGUCCGGAAUUAUUGGGCGUAAAGGGCUCGUAGGCGGUUUGUCGCGUCGGGAGUGAAAACCCAGGGCUUAACCCUGGGCUGGCUUCCGAUACGGGCAGACUAGAGGUAUGCAGGGGAGAACGGAAUUCCUGGUGUAGCGGUGGAAAUGCGCAGAUAUCAGGAGGAACACCGGUGGCGAAGGCGGUUCUCUGGGCAUUACCUGACGCUGAGGAGCGAAAGUGUGGGGAGCGAACAGG
rnacentral:rRNA from 1 species